rnacentral:rRNA from 1 species
CCUACGGGCGGCAGCAGUGGGGAAUAUUUCACAAUGGGGGAAACCCUGAUGCAGCAACGCCGCGUGAGUGAAGAAGUAUUUCGGUAUGUAAAGCUCUAUCAGCAUGGAAGAAGAUGACGGUACCUGCAUAACAAGCCCCGGCUACCUACGUGCCAGCAGCCGCGGUAAUACGUAGGGGGCAAGCGUUAUCCGGAUUUACUGGGUGUAAAGGGAGCGCAGACGGCAGUGCAAGUCUGGAGUGAAAGCCCGGGGCACAACCCCGGCACUGCUCAUGAAACUGUGCGGCUAGAGUACUGGAGGGGCAGGCGGAAUUCCGAGUGUAGCAGUGAAAUGCGUAGAUAUUAGGAGGAACACCAGUGGCGAAGGCGGGCUGCUGGACAGUAACUGACGUUGAGGCUCGAAAGCGUGGGGAGCAAACAGGAUUAGAUACCCUGGUAGUC